GAUGCGGAGGAUGCGGAAGUAGGUGAAUUUAUGCGGAUCCGCACCGGCCACCGCAUCUUGUCAGAUGCCCUGGACUUAUAUUACGAAAAUUAGUGUACGAGACAAUGGUAAACCUACUCCAAAGACAGAUUGUGCUCGGGGUCGAACACUACGUUUGGGAUGUUGGAAUGCAA